AUGACCGUGACAGUGCGGUGGAUGAUCGAGACAGUGACUACAGGAGUGAGGGGGGCAGCCAUCAUCGCCCCCCUCGGUACCACACCACUCCCCAGCCCAACUCUUCAGUGCACCAGUAUCCCAUAGGACACAGGCGGGGACAGCACCCUUCCCUCUCCAGAGACACUGACUCCAUACACAGCUAUGAGCUGGACUACAGAGAAGCCAGGGGGUCCAGCCCGGUGGACAGCAGCCGUUUUGGGUCAUCAGGGAACCUCAGCCAGGCCAGCUCCCAGCUCAGCUCUGAACCAGAGGCUACCCAGCCCACCAGCCCUCACCCCCCUCUCCACAGCCAACAGAAAGCCUCCUGGGAGGAAGAGGAGGCAGAGGAGAAGGGGCUGAGGGCUGUCCCAGAGCCAGGGUCCAACAAAGAUCUGAAGGAGUCCAUCAUCACACCGCCCAAACCCCUGGACAACCGUGGGACAGAGAAACAGAUCAGCUUCUGUGAGCAUGGGCCACCUCCCUGCUCUCCGGUCAGAGUACGUUGGCUGAAGGUCAUCAACAAAGUCAGAGUUCAGCU